UUGGUGCCGGGGGCAGGAGGCUUGUGCUGAGUUGCAUUCGUUACAUGCCUGAGUGAGCAGAUCCUUGCUCAGUUCUCAGGCCCCCGGAAAGAGGGGGCACAGGAUGACAUGUGGGAACAUCUUCUUGAGUCAGGCAGCAGCUGGAGCGGAGGCACAGUUAACAGGGUCAAAGGUCCUUGCUCGCCUGGUCAUUUAGCAACAUGGGCGCCUCUGGGCCCCUUCCCACGGACUCAGAGACACAGACACAGGUCCCUGGAGAGCUGAGGAAGGGCCAGGUGCUGCGGCAGCCUGGGUGGGAGUGACAGAAGUGACUGGCUGCUGGGGUAGGGGGUAUCACAGAUACUGGCCUGCCCAGGGGGGCUGGAGGAGGGGUGGAGGCCUCUUCAGAGUUUUGCAGGCCUUGAUGGCACAGGCUUGCUCUCAGUCUCAUUCCAAUCCUGCCUGCUGUGAGACCUGGUCAGAGGAGCCGUGCAGGCAGAGUCCACUCAGGACUGUGCUCCUAGACCCUCGGAGCUCCUGCGAGUCACUCCUCUGCCUCCCUCCCUUCGGGCAGCCCCAGCACUUCAGUGUACACAGAGCUCACUCAAGCACUACCUCAUUUGAUUCUUCAAGUCUCCAGCCCUUCAUCCACAUGGCCCAAGUGAUCUUUCCAAAAUGCAGAUCUGGCCAGGCCACUGCUCAGACGCCUUCUGUGGAUCCUGGAAUUAGCCUAGAGUUCAAGGCCCUUGGCAAUGUGGCCCUUGCCUCCCUCCUCUGGCCCAUCUCUCUGACCUCCAUGCCUAUGCAUGUACCAUUCCUUCUGCCUGAAACUCCCUCCUUCUCACAGAGGGAAAACUCUCCUUCAGCCUUCCAGACCCAGCCCAAGUAGCCCGCUGUGCGAUGCUGUCCGUGAACUGCCUGGCCCAGCAAUCAGCACUCUCUAGGCCCCCACAGGCCUUGGCAGCACUGUCACUGCUGCACUGAUCACACAGAACUGCUGUCAUCUGUGUUGACCUUACUGCAGUUUAUGCACUCAGAGGCCCACAUGAAGCAGGCAUCAGUGGAUCUUUAGUGGGUGAAGGGUGGAAUACACAAAUCUUCCUGAGCAUUGAUUUCCUCAUCUGCAAAAUUGGGAUAAUGACAAUCCCUACCCAGUCUUCCUCACUGGAUAUCCGGAGCAUGACUUAAGAUGAUUCAUGGGAAGCAUUUUGUAGGUGUUAAUCUACUCCUCCCACAGUUAUUCCUUCCUCAACCCCAAGUGGGAAGCCAGCCCUGGAUGCUGUCCAGGGUGCUGAAAGGGACGUGUCUUCUCCCAAAGGAUGAGGAGACAAGACUGAGAGGCCCACACAAGCUCAGCUGCAGCCUUUCCUUGCUUUCCUGACUGGCAGGGUCAAGGGUGAGCAGACUGUCCCUACCUUCAUGAGAAAAGACCCUGCGACAUGUCCAAUAAAAAUACAAUGUAAACGA